CCCUAAGGUCGGUCCACACUUUGGCCGCCUCUCUCUCCUAUCCGGAUGUGGUCUUGGACUUGGGCCUGGACGCAUCCUACUCGAUCGGUUACUCCUUGGUAUGGUUAGUAGCAAAUCCACGUUCUUUAUAACAAGGUUUUUUUUAUUCGAGUUUUGUUAUAUAAAAAAAAAAAAAAAAACUUAUGUUCUUUAUUUACAGGGGAGGAAAAAGAUUUAACGAGCUGCUAACUACUUGACGUUUCAAACAUAACCUCUGACUGUAGCUAAUGAUUUUACAUCAAAAGUAGCAAAGUGUUUGUUUACAAGUCCAGACCUGUCACCACCGAGUACACCACAAAAGCAAGUCUCUUCUCAGAGUGACAACUUUCCAUUUUCUUGGAGGUGCCAUGCUUGCCUGCCACAAACCCUCAAACUAUAUCACAUAGAGAGACCACUUCAGGGUAUAAUUAUUUUCUUCUCUUUGUCUUACUGACAAUUAAAAUUUUCUGCUGCCAUUUUACUUAUCAGAUCCAAUUCAACACAGGUCAUCUCUUGAAUCAAUGGAACGGGAGUCUUGUGCCCUGACCAGUUCGUCUCAGAGUUACAGAAAUAAUUCAAGGAAAUGACAUCGACAGGCAAGAAUCCUACUCCCAUGACCUCCGUGUAAGUCCAGAAACAAAAUGCUUACGAAUCUUUAAGUCCUGGUAAUUGCUCUUUCUCACUAUCAUUUGAACCAUGUUUUUUUCGUUUUGAAUUUUUUUUGUCAUUUCUUUUAAAUAGAAAUUAAAAGUUUUUCAAAACUAGUAACUUUUCAAGGUUUUGAGGAAUUUUUUUAAUAUAACUAGAUUGAUGAUAUGUGAAUGUUUGAAAACAAAUAGAAUAUAAUGUCAUGUCAUUAAGAUCCUUAGAGAUAAUAUGUUUAUUUGCUUUAUCACUUGUGAUCACUAAAUUUCUUUUUGUGUUAAACACUUAUAUGAUCACUAAGUUUUCCUAAUCAAUAUGAAUAUUACAAUUUUUUUGUUUUUUUUUGUUUUUGUUUGUCAAAGAUUGCAUUGUUUUUUCUCAUUUUUUUUUUGUUUUUCAAAUUUUAAAUAAAAUUUUAUAUAACUACGAGUUAUAAUGAAAAUUAUAUGUAAAUUUGUGACAACCAAUAUUACAUUUUAUCAUGUCAUUGUGAUCGUUAAAUAGCCAAAGACACCCAAAUCUCAACAUAGUACAACGUUGUACAAUGCCACAUAACGAAGUGAAAUAGAUAAAUAAAACUCUUCCGUGCUUAGUAAAUCAGCACGAUGGUCCACAUGAAGGAUGAGGAGAAAUAAGAUCAGGAAGACUGGGAUGGAUAUGGACGUUUAAGACAUAUUGAAAGGUCUAGUACAAUAAUAGAGGCAUGUGUCGAAGCAAAGUUUAAAUUUGUGAUACCUUGGAACGCAUUUACUCCUCAUACAAUGUUUAAUAACAAUAAUACUUU